rnacentral:lncRNA from 1 species
UAUAUCAUCCUUAUGACACCUGGAUUUAAUUGAAAACAACUAUUGUUUUUUAGUCAUUAUAUAACCCUGAUCGAAAAGACAUAAGAUCAGAGACAUUUCGGCCUUGAGCAUCGAGCUGGCAGAAUCGUUAAGCACACCGGGCGAAAUGCUUAGCGGGAUUUCGUCUGUCGCUAAUGUUUUGAGUUCAAAUUCCAGCUAGGUCGACUUUGCCUUUCAUCAUUUCGGGGUCGAUAAAGUAAGUACCAGUUACGCACUGGGCUUGAUAUAAUCGACUUAAUCCGUUUGUCUGUCCUUGAUUGUCCUCUCUGUGUUUAGCCCCUUGUGGGUAGUAAAGAAAUAGGUAUUUCGUCUCUCGCUAAUGUUUUGAGUUCAAAUUCCGCCAAGGUCGACUUUGUCUUUCAUCCUUUCGGGGUCGAUAAAUUAAGUACCAGUUUCGCACUGGAGUCGAUCUAAUCGA